ACCUGGACAUAAGAGAAACAAUCAGGCUUGUAUGUGUAAUUAAAGUUGAUUCUAUUAUCUUGAUUGUAUAAAAGCUCAAAUGCCAGUAAUAUGUAUAAUGUGUUAUAUUCAGUACUUUUUAUAAGUGCACAUAGCACCUGGCAUUACUCAACUGCCUCUUGUCUUAAAGCUUGAAAGGGAAUCCACACUGUCAGAGAGGGAUGCAGGGAGUGUCCAGGAAUUGGCCUAUGCCUGGGACCUCCCAUCCCUUACUGAGAAGAACAGGAGAUGGAUUUUUGAGAAGCUUCUAAUCCAUGCUGUGAUUGGCCGUGUCACAAGACAAAUAAAACAGUUUCGACGAGGUCUUAAAGAAACCCCAAUGUGGACAGUGCUGACCCAACGACCUGACACGGGGGCCUUGCUUCUCCCAAAAGAGGGAGCUGGGAAUAUCAGCCCUGAGGUACUUCUUCAGCGAAUCACAUCCGUGAGAAUGAAGAUGAUGACGACGACUAUUCAGUUGACACCAGAUGCUGCAUGACAGGCUAUCUUCGACAGUUCAUUGUGAAUGCAACACCAACUGAAUUGACCAAUCUGGUCAAAUUCUGGACCGGGUGGGAGAUUCUCCCAACGAGCCCCUCCGUAGAGGUGGUCAUGGGCAGAUACCCCACAGCCUCCACCUGUUUGAGAUGUUGAGCAUCCCAGGACAUUACAAUGAUUAUCAAUCUUUUCAAAGUGAUAUUCAGGCCUGUAUUUGCUCUUGCCAAACAGGAUUUGGCCUGGUGUGAGAGACUAGAUUUGAUCUUGUACUAAAUGUUGAUCUAACUUUGUUUGUUGGCUGUUCAAAAUGUUGACUGUUAUGCAACAAAUAUGGAUGUUCACUGUAAACAAUCUCUGCACUGAAAUAAAUAAUUAAAUAAUUAA